rnacentral:lncRNA from 1 species
GGGAAUGCAGCACUGGAAACUUGUCAGAUGUUGCACUGCAGAACUGCUACAGACAACAGCACUCGGGGUGAACUGUUCCCAUGCAGCUGGGAACGCUCCUCAGGAGCAGAGCUGGUGCCAGCUGAGCCACCAGAAUGCAAUGGCAGCAGUGCACGGAGAACAGCCUGGUGCCCAGGAAUCGGCCUGGAGAGUCUGAACUGAUAGGAAAGCAGGAGGUUCCCAUCAAGGGAGGAACCGUGAGCAGCUCCCCUCUGCACAACCAGCACUGACUGCAUUGGCUGCACGGACUCAGCUGUGAGAUUCCCAAACAGCUUCUGCCAGCGCUCCUCUGCUCUUAGAGGGGUUCAGACAUCGUCUGUGUCUGAACGUGUGCGUAUCAAUGAGAGGAAAAUGUCAGUUAAAGCAGGGAAAGCUGGAGACUGGGAAAAGACUGAGGGCUCCAAAUGCACUGCAGACCCGGGGUUGUUGUUAUUAAAAAGCACUUCCAGUUACAGGAUGGUUCGUCUCACAGCAUUAAAAACCAGGGAGAUGCAGCAGCAAGUGGGAAAGCUGCAAACUCAGUGCUGGGGCUCCCUGAGAACAUCAAACCCAGUGCAGCUCUGAGCCCCUCUGGAACCGCAUCCAGGAGCGGCAGAACCCGCAGCUGUCACACAGACACAGCGGCAGCCCCAGGACGGGGCACUGUGGAGCUGCGCCAAGCCAAAUGAAACUGAUGAAACAGAAUGCAUCUUCAUGUGGCUGUGCAGAUGGCUGCGUGCCUGAGAACACUGCGAGCUGCAGAUCAGAGACACCCAGCACUGGGAUGAGAAACCAAAAACGCCCCAAAUCCACGUUGAGUUACAAAAUAGCUUCAUCCUGACACAACUUAACCAUCUCACGCUUCCCAGUUCAGCUUUGGAAGCUGAAGCUCUGCUAUCCUUACAUUGAUAGUUACAUUGAUGCAGGAUGGCGCCCCGGGCAGCCGCGGCUCCCAGCAGGGCUCCCACAACAGCUGAGGGCUGCGCGGGCAGCACCGCACUGCAGAGGGGUGGUGGGAUGAGGAACACCAGCACUGUGCGCCCAUGGAGCCAAUCCACCGCUGUGCUUCACUGUUUCCACAUCUGCAGAAGCAGGCUUUAAACAAGUAAGUGUGUUUCUAAGCUUUGACAGUUAAAAUCCUCAAGUGACAUCACCUGAAGUCGGAGCACAGCUGCCUUAUUCCUCUGGCACAUGGCUGCGCCAAAGUAAGCACGAGCCCCAGUUUAUGGGCUGACAGCACACCUCGAGAUGGCGAAAGCACUGCUGGGGUUUGCCCUGCAGCACUACGGCCCCUCCUGACUCUUUCCUUGCUUUUGGGAGUAAGAAACACCACAUUGAGGAGCACUGAGCCCCAGCAGAGGGAGCACGGAGGGUGCGCCAACCCAACGGGUUUGGUGGAACACCGGGAAUGGUGCUCACAAGGAGGAGAGCGACGGAACCCACCGAGCAGCACAGCUCCGGGGUGCCCUCCACGGGGCACGGGAGGGGAGCAGAGCACCCACCCCGACACGGCCGCUUACAAGCAGCUUAAGGGUGUAAAUCGCGUUAAUCCCGGUAACAAAGCUCCGGGCUCACCCUUGUGUGAAUCGCUAAUCCCUCUCCCCCGGGCUGUCCCCAUCCAGAGCUCGGAGGCAGAACAGCGCAGCACCGAGAGGUGACCCCACCGAGCACAGCCCGACAGACCCCAACGGCACCGAGCAGCUCCAGGGGCUGCAGCAGCGCUGUGCCCAUCUGCUCAGAGCCCUCCCUCUUGUUUCGGAGGGGAUUACUGGAAAAACGCGCAUUUCCCUUUUCACUGCUCUGUAUUUCGGGCUCUCCCCGAGGCAGCCUCCAAAAACGCCGCGCGUUGGUUUCAACCUCAGAAGCAGCGCACGUUUGGUUUGCUAGAACAAAAGCGUGCAGGUCGUAAUCAAGCCGGAUCAAAAAGAGGUUUCCUGCAGGACGUCAUUAUUUCCACAAGUGCAAGAAGGGAGAAAUGAGGAAAAGCACUCCGUGUCCCCAAACUGCCAGAGCGGGGGAGGAACACUGCUUACACGUGUGCCUUGUCUGGGCAGGGACAUGGGAACACCGAAGGCUGUCAUCUGCCCCAAGGGAUGGAGAUGGAGCGUGGCCAUGGGUUGGGAAUGUGGGAGGAGCCUGGGUGCCACCACGGGGCCUCGGUGGCAGAGAUGCCAUGGGCUCAAACUCAGACCCAUUUCUGGGGGCCUGGGGGGCUCAAUAAAGGGGCUGAAGAUGGCCCUGAUAGCAGAUGGCCGCGGUAGGAAAUGGCUGUGAUGGAAGAUGGCCGUGACAGGCAUCCCUGAUGGGUGGAAGGUGUCCCCAGUGGCAGAUGUCCCCAGUGGGAGGUGGCUCUGAUGGAAGGUGGCCAUGGUGGGAGAUGUCCGUGAUGGGAGAUGGCCCCAGUGGAAGAUGGCCCUUCUAUCAGCAGCCCUCAAAUUCAGUGGCUGUAACAAAAGCUUCCCCAGGCUGGGAAUUAAGUCAGCCCCAGCAAUGAGGUGAGCACCGGGAGCGGCCCCAAUGGGCGCUGGAGGCGGUCCCGUUGUUUCGCCCCGCAGCGCCACUCGGACGGCCCGGCCCGCUGGGAUGCCUCCAGGUUCCCAUUAUUUAAGCUGUCGCAGAGAUUAUUAGAAAGCAUUUCCCACUCGUAUAAAAACCAGAUGCGCUUCGUCACGCUGCGAUCACGCCAGGAUUUGAAAACAAAACCGAACGGGGCUCUCGGCAUCCAGUGGGGAUAAUUACUCUUUGCGGGGGAAAAACAACAGGGAAGCGCAGGGCUGAGCUCGGAAGCAGCCCGGUGAGUUCGCCGCGUGCCGUUGUGCCCCCGCCGCCCCCAGCAGCCCCCGCAGGAGGAGCUCUUGGCGGGGAAUGGUGAAAUUUGCUCCUUUUCUUCUGCUUUGCCACAUCGAUGCCCCCUGAGCCCAUUAGGGAGACCCAGCUGCUGCCACAGCCCUUACAUCACCCAAAGCAGGCGGUAUUUGCAUGAGAAAGCGCUCUUUGGGGGGGGAAUUGCUGCUUAAUUACGGAGCGGCAGUCACUUUAAUUAGCAUGUCUCCAUGCUCCCUGGUACUUUGCAUGGAUUCAAAUGAGCUGCUCAUUAGGGACCGGCGCUAGGACAAGCUACGCCCGUUAGCGCUGCGCUAAGUGAAUUAACCCCGGCGGGGCCCGGGGGGCUUUCAGGGCCGUGCACGAGGAUGCGUAACUGCGGCCAUCCCCGGGCAGAGCCGUUUCCACCCCGAAGCCUCACAGUGACCCAUCGGCUCCGGAGGUGACUCAGCCGCUUUGCAAGCGUGGCAGCAGCGCGGGCGCCACGCGGGGAC